rnacentral:misc_RNA from 1 species
UUUCCGUAGGUGAACCUGCGGAAGGAUCAUUAUUGAAACUUCAUCCGGGGCGCCGCGGCCCUCAGCACCGGUGGAAACGCCGUGCUGCGGGGGCCGCGCGUGCACUCGUCCAAACCAAACCCCUGUGAACCUUACGGGAUGGCCCGGGUUAGCGCCCGGUGCCGUUCCGCUUUAUACAAACACUUAUCAAAGAAUGAACUGAAGGCGGUCUGACCGCUGGAUAACAAACUGAAACGACUUUCAACAACGGAUCUCUUGGCUCUC